rnacentral:lncRNA from 1 species
CUUGUCCCGGCGCCUCCCUCUUUCUUCCUCUUUUCCUUCUCCCCGCGGCUGCCUUGCGGAGCCAGGGCAGGAGUCGGGGCAGGAGCCCCGCAGGAGCCAGGUGUCCGCGCCCCGCCCCGCCGCCAGGGAGAGGCUGCCGGGAGCCAGGGCCAACCCGAGCCGCAGCCGCCGCGCAGGCAGGGCCGGGCCGGGCGCGCGGGCACAAAGGGACCGCUGCACAUGGCAGGCAGGCGAGCAGAUGCCAGCAGACAGCUUUUGGAAAGAACCAGGAGAAGACGGCACAGAGGGAAGCCCAGGUCAUCCUGCGACCUCCCUGCCUUUGCUGGAGCUGCUUCUUCCUCUGGUUCAAAAUCUACAACAACAGGUGCAGACCAGUCCUCAACCACCGUGUGUGCUGAGAUUCCUUGAGGACCUGAGGUCAAACUCCUUCAGAAUGGAAAUGCCCCCAGACUUGGAGUCAGACACAUUUAGGCUCAGUCAGUUCUGCCACUCAGUGAAGAAAAUCACUUACUGCCACUAUGCAUCAGUGCCUUCAUGUGAAAUGAAGAAAAUGAUACCUCUCAAGGUGAGGAGGACUGAGAGAAACCAUGAGUGUAAAUCACCCGGCUGGAGAUCCGGCUCACAGUACGUGCAAAAUAAAUGUCAGUUUCCAUGGUUCAGCGCCAGGGGCUUUCUCUGACAUAGGCCAAAUGCCUAGAACCUCCCCUCAUUGGGGGAGAAAGAGGUCUUGAAUGCCUUCUGUUUCAUUUCUGCUUGCCUACACAUCACCCAUUUAUCACUGCCUAGACUGAACUGCGCGCUUUUCCAUCUCCCUCAUGAGAGAUGCCAUCCAUCUCCACUGUCUCUCCCUGGGGUUCUUCUUCCCUGGCUCCUGGGAAGGCAGGUGUCACACCACUGCUGCCACAGCUUCAGGGAAUACACAGCGCAUGGGUUAAUGCAGCCUACUCUGUGAAAAGCUCCCGUUGGCUUUCGCCGCUGCCUCCCAGCAUGACUUCAUAUUGAAAACACCACACCCCAGCACCAUCAUUGCUCCUGGGGAGAAGAUACAAGAAGUCAGAAGGAACCACAAGCCCAGAACUCUCACUGCUUGGUCCCAUAAAGAAGGUCCGGAGUUCCUAGAAGGGAGAAAUUGGUGUCCAGUAAAAAUUGUUUUUUCUUUGCUUUCCUUUGUAUGUAUUACUCCUGUCUAAAACUUCAAAGCUUCCUACUCAGUAAACACCAUCCUUCAGUGGUGGUCACGUGGCAGUCUAAAACAAGUCAGUGUUUGUGUCUCAAUAGCUUCUCUUUUUGUUCC